rnacentral:rRNA from 1 species
GACGAACGCUGGCGGCGCGCUUAACACAUGCAAGUCGAACGGAAAGGCCUGCUUUCCCUUGUGGAUUGCGGGUACUCGAGUGGCGAACGGGUGAGUAACACGUGAGUGAUCUGCCCCCAACUUGGGUAUAAGCCUGGGAAACUGGGUCUAAUUCCCGAUAGGACUGCAGGGUGGUGCCUGUGGUGGAAAACGAUUUUCUAGUGGUUGGGGAUGAGCUCGCGGCCUAUCAGCUUGUGGGUGGGGUAAUGGCCUACCAAGGCGGCGACGGGUGGCCGGCCUGGGAGGGUGGACGGCCACAUUGGGACUGAGAUACGGCCCAGACUCCUACGGGAGGCAGCAGUGGGGAAUAUUGCACAAUGGGCGGAAGCCUGAUGCAGCGACGCCGCGUGGGGGAUGACGGCCUUCGGGUUGUAAACUCCUUUCGACCGCGAGGAAGCCACCUGGUUGGAAGGGUGGUGACGGUAGUGGUAGAAGAAGCACCGGCUAACUACGUG